rnacentral:tRNA from 2 species
GGGCCCGUGGUCUAGCUGGUUAUGACGCCGUCCUGACAAGGCGGAGGUCCCCGGUUCGACUCCGGGCGGGCCCACCA